GACGAACGCUGGCGGCGUGCUUAACACAUGCAAGUCGAACGGAAAGGCCCUGCUUUUGUGGGGUGCUCGAUUGGCGAACGGGUGAGUAACACGUGAGUAACCUGCCCUUGACUUUGGGAUAACUUCAGGAAACUGGGGCUAAUACCGGGUAGGAGCUCCUGCUGCAUGGGGGGGGUUGGAAAGUGUCGGCGGUUGGGGAUGGACUCGCGGCUUAUCAGCUUGUUGGUGGGGUAGUGGCUUACCAAGGCUUUGACGGGUAGCCGGCCUGAGAGGGUGACCGGCCACCUUGGGACUGAGAUACGGCCCAGACUCCUACGGGAGGCAGCAGUGGGGAAUAUUGCACAAUGGGCGGACGCCUGAUGCAGCAACGCCGCGUGCGGGAUGACGGCCUUCGGGUUGUAAACCGCUUUCGCCUGUGACGAAGCGUGAGUGACGGUAAUGGGUAAAGAAGCACCGGCUAACUACGUG
rnacentral:rRNA from 1 species